UGUACAGUUGCAUUGUGGGAUAUUUACCGGCUGGAGGCGAAUGUUCGCGGGCUAGAGAGCGGGACCAAGGAGGAUUUUCACCGGGUAAUCUUAUGUUGUGAUGUGCUACAGAGGUGUGCUACAGCUGCAGGUCUUAAAGGGACACACAACCUGCCGCCAAGUCCACAACUCAUUGCCCUCAGAGACAACAUUACCCUUCAUCAUGGAUGAUCAGCAUCGAGGGUGAAAUUGUUUGAGGGCGUUCAACCUACGUUCCAGGCUGGUCUCGCAGCACUUUUUGCCACCUUCUACGUUUUUAACCUUGAGUAUCCAGAGGAGGCAGCAUGCACACUGGAGGUUUUUCAAAGGUGAUUCACAGGCCUCAACCCUGAAAGGGGAACAAAGGCUGCAAAAGGAAAAGUAACAUCAAAAAUGACAGGACGACUCGUG